CCCCGCCGAAGGGGCAGCGGAGGAAGGAGCAGUCCCCGAUUCCGAGGUGGACGCCUUUUUCCGAACAGGAUCUUUCCGCAAUGAUGGCUUGAAAGCCACUGAUGUCCUUCCCAUACUAAAGGAAAAAGUGGCCUUUGUUUCAGGCGGCCGUGAUAAACGAGGAGGUCCCAUCCUGACAUUUCCAGCACGCAGCAAUCAUGACAGAAUAAGGCAGGAAGAUCUUCG